UAGGGAAUUUUCGUCAAUGGGGGAAGCCCUGAACGAGCAAUGCCGCGUGUGUGAAGAAGGUCUUCGGAUCGUAAAGCACUGUUGUAAGUGAAGAAUGCCACAUAGAGGAAAUGCUAUGUGGGUGACGGUAGCUUACCAGAAAGCCACGGCUAACUACGUGCCAGCAGCCGCGGUAAUACGUAGGUGGCAAGCGUUAUCCGGAAUCAUUGGGCGUAAAGGGUGCGUAGGUGGCACGAUAAGUCUGAAGUAAAAGGCAACAGCUCAACUGUUGUAUGCUUUGGAAACUGUCGAGCUAGAGCUGCAGAAGAGGGCGAUGGAAUUCCAUGUGUAGCGGUAAAAUGCGUAGAUAUAUGGAGGAACACCAGUGGCGAAGGCGGUCGCCUGGUCUGUAACUGACACUGAUGCACGAAAGCGUGGGGAGCAAAUAGGAUUAGAUACC
rnacentral:rRNA from 1 species